UACGGAGGAUGCAAGCGUUAUCCGGAAUUAUUGGGCGUAAAGCGUCCGCAGGUGGUUGAACAAGUCUGCUGUUAAAGCGCGGAGCUUAACUCCGUAAGGGCGGUGGAAACUGUUUAACUAGAGUACGGUAGGGGUAGCGGGAAUUCCCGGUGUAGCGGUGAAAUGCGUAGAUAUCGGGAAGAACACCAGCGGCGAAGGCGGUUCUCUGGGAAUGUCCUGACGCUGAGGAGCGAAAGUGUGGGGAGCGAACAGG
rnacentral:rRNA from 1 species